rnacentral:rRNA from 1 species
AUUGAACGCUGGCGGAAUGCUUUACACAUGCAAGUCGAACGGCAGCACGGACUUCGGUCUGGUGGCGAGUGGCGAACGGGUGAGUAAUACAUCGGAACGUGCCCAGUCGGGGGGGAUAACGUAGCGAAUGCUACGCUAAUACCGCCUACGAUCUAAGGAUGAAAGCGGGGGAUCGCAAGACCUCGCGCGAUGGGAGCGGCCGAUGGCAGAUUAGGUAGUUGGUGGGGUAAAGGCUCACCAAGCCGACGAUCUGUAGCUGGUCUGAGAGGACGACCAGCCACACUGGGACUGAGACACGGCCCAGACUCCUACGGGAGGCAGCAGUGGGGAAUUUUGGACAAUGGGCGAAAGCCUGAUCCAGCCAUUCCGCGUGCAGGAUGAAGGCCCUCGGGUUGUAAACUGCUUUUGUACGGAACGAAAAGGCUCUGGUUAAUACCUGGGGCUCAUGACGGUACCGUAAGAAUAAGCACCGGCUAACUACGUGCCAGCCGCCGCAGUAA